GUGCUCGCUUCGGCAGCACAUAUACUAAAACUGGAACGAUACGGAGAUUAGCAAGGCCCCUGGGCAAGGAUGACACGCAAAUCUGUGAAGGGUUCCAUAUUAAA
ensembl:snRNA U6 U6 spliceosomal RNA